rnacentral:piRNA from 1 species
UCCUGAUGACCUCUUUUUUGGCAAAGUGU